rnacentral:rRNA from 1 species
CGGACGGGUGCGUAACGCGUGGGAAUCUACCUUGUAGUGGGGGAUAGCCCGGAGAAAUCCGGAUUAAUACCGCAUAAUCUCUACGGAGCAAAGUGGGGGAUCUUCGGACCUCACGCUAUUAGAUGAGCCCGCGUUAGAUUAGCUUGUUGGUGGGGUAAUGGCUCACCAAGGCUACGAUCUAUAGCUGGUUUGAGAGGAUGAUCAGCCACACUGGGACUGAGACACGGCCCAG